GUGGGUAGUUUGACUGGGGCGGUCUCCUCCUAAAGAGUAACGGAGGAGCACGAAGGUUGGCUAAUCCUGGUCGGACAUCAGGAGGUUAGUGCAAUGGCAUAAGCCAGCUUGACUGCGAGCGUGACGGCGCGAGCAGGUGCGAAAGCAGGUCAUAGUGAUCCGGUGGUUCUGAAUGGAAGGGCCAUCGCUCAACGGAUAAAAGGUACUCCGGGGAUAACAGGCUGAUACCGCCCAAGAGUUCAUAUCGACGGCGGUGUUUGGCACCUCGAUGUCGGCUCAUCACAUCCUGGGGCUGAAGUAGGUCCCAAGGGUAUGGCUGUUCGCCAUUUAAAGUGGUACGCGAGCUGGGUUUAGAACGUCGUGAGACAGUUCGGUCCCUAUCUGCCGUGGGCGCUGGAGAACUGAGGGGGGCUGCUCCUAGUACGAGAGGACCGGAGUGGACGCAUCACUGGUGUUCGGGUUGUCAUGCCAAUGGCACUGCCCGGUAGCUAA
rnacentral:rRNA from 2 species